GAGCAGGCUGAAAGAAAUAAAUGACGUCUUGAUAUACCUGACAAGGGCGUGGCCAGGGGAAGGGGCAGGCCCCGCCCUCCCUUCGAGCAGCAAAAAAUACAGUAAACGUAUGAGACAUUAUUUAAGAUACAGGAGGAAAUGAAAAAAACCGCGUUUUGGGCCCCCUCCUUUUAAAAAUCGUGGCUACGCUUCUUCCUGACCAGCUUGACAAGUGGCAAAUGUAAAUAAUUACAGGGGGAUAUGGCGGGAAAAUGUUUAAUAAUAUUAAGGCCCAUUGCAGUAUACACUGAAUUACGGGUCUGUCAGCAACAAUUAAACAGCCAGCGAUAAAUAAUGGGAAAAUACGGAUGUGUCAUUGUUCUAACUGGCAUUUCACAGUGACGAAGUGGUUGAAUCUGCGGGUGGAGCCAACCGACGGGUAGCAAGUCUGGUGGCCAGAUCUUAGAUUCAAAUUCGCUGACAUGAAAAUGUGUUUUGCAAAUGGCAUUUUAUUUCACAUUCUUUGACAUUCCUGAGCUCUAGCAAAUGGGCAAUUAGUUGCAACUUGUUCUACGUUUUCACCAACAGACCAAGAUAAACAAAGAAAGUCCCCCUUGGACCCCAGUUUGACACCCGACUGGAGAAAUCUAAAUUUGUAUAAAGAAACAUUUGAAGAAAAGCAGAAUUAACUUCGUGCUAGAGAAAUGCUCGCGGGUUAAAUGCGAAGUGUACUCAAAGCGAUUUGAGAUGUCCUACGUGCAUUUACACGGAAAACCCAAGUGACUGUUCUCCCAUGGACGGUCAGAUAUAUUAUACAUUUCUGGCAGGCCUUGCCGGCGUAUAGCGGAGGGCAAGCGCAUCUGAAGUCUCCGUCUCGGUAUGAUGGGUAACACCUCCCUCCAUGGAGACACGCCCCUCCAGCACACGGGCUCUAGGAUAAAACAAGAUGGCACCACAUUGAUACAUAAGCGCUCGGGCACUAGAACGACAAAGCUUUUAUAAACGCAAAAACAUAAACACGGUCAUUUGCCAUGUAAACAUAUCACGGGCUCUAUAAGAUAAAGACAACCACAAGAUACAGGUACACGGCCGGGAUCAAUAAAAAACAUUUCUCGUUAACCACAAAAACUAUAAGACAUCAGUACGAUUGAAUUUUGAGACAGAAUACAUCAAUAUCGUUGAAUCAGAAGCACUAAACUAGAUAGAGACCGUGACAGUUGAAAAUCCAAGAUAAAGAAUGUUUACCUGUAUGCUGUAGUGGAUCGAGGUCUCGUUGCCGCUGAUGAACUUCAUCGACUCGUUGUAUUUAUCGGUGGAAAGAAGACCACACCAGUGCAAAGCAUUAGAGUUCGGCUGAGCCGCCAUGUUGAUGGAUAAACACGCAUUGUUGUCUUUGCAUUUUUUCGCACAAUGUUCUUCUCCUUCCACGAAGUGACUGACUAGGGUUGUUACAUUGAGGUACGAACUCUCGUGCUUGAUAAAGUUCGCAAAGUUGAACUCAAAAUCAUCCCUUGUUAUACCAGCUAGUGUGUCAUGGCUUCGUGCAAAAGGAAGCACAGAUACCAAAAUAUAGAAAAGCAUUGUGUGAUUUUUGAACUUGGUAAUUAUUACCAGUUAAGUUUGUAAGAAUUCUUGAAUUUUGGUUUUUCUUUUCAGAUGAAAGUUUGGCGAAUGAGAGAGGCUGCAAUUGAUGAGUUGACACUAGUCAUUAUUAAUUCAUUGCAAAACUUUAAGAACGAACUAUUUACCCAGUUACUGGAAUCAUAAAUUAUUGAAAGACAAUAUAUAUAUAUAUAUAUAUAUUCCUGCAAUUAUUUUUCUCUUUUAAAGUCCUUUAAAAGUUUCUGCAUAGUUUAAUCAAGUGUAAACCAAGUGCCAUAUUUGUUUAAAACAUUCUUCAACCUAAUAUCAUAAAUGUACUUUAUUCAGAUUUUGUUUGCCAGUAGCCUAGAAACCCGAAUAGCGUAUGCAAACAAUCAGUAUGGUUCCUGUUAAAACACUGAAUCGGUUUCUAAAUUGUAAAUUUGACAGUUUAUUUUAUUUAAGAAAUACAAGAAAAGAAAAAAAAGUAAAAA